CACACACACACACACACACACACACACACACACACACACACACACACACACACACACAGGAGGUUCUGGAUCCAGUGUGGAGACAGCUGCUCUGCAGGUCUACAGUAAAACCCUAACACACACACACACACUAUCCUAGCUGGAAAGUCCCUAAUGAUUCUUUUUUUCCAGCCCGGUAAGCAUAGCUGUUGUAACAGUGCGAAGGCUAUAAUUUGGCUAGGCUGGGUACCAAGGUGAAAUUAGCCUUACACUGCAUGGGUGUUAAGAUAUGGAAUCCAAAAAAAGGUCUGGGAAACAUAUACUUUGUUUUAAUUAAUGGGCAGUCGAAGCACAAUGACACCCCUUCCUGGCUGAUCCUGUUCCUUCUCGUCUGGUACACCCACUGUCCCUGUGUCUGGUUUCACCUCUCAGAUCCUAUUGAAGUAGUAGUUAUUGACCUAGGAGAUGGGGUCAGGGUCAGGGUCAGUAGUAGUUAUCGACCUAGGAGAUGAGGUCAGGGUCAGUAGUAGUUAUUGACCUAGGAGAUGGGGUCAGGGUCAGUAGUAGUUAUUGACCUAGGAGGUGGGGUCAGGGUCAGUAGUAGUUAUUGACCUAGGAGAAGGGGUCAGGGUCAGUAGUAGUUAUUGACCUAGGAGAUGAGGUCAGGGUCAGUAGUAGUUAUUGACCAAGGAGAUGGGGUCAGGGUCAGUAGUAGUUAUUGACCUAGGAGAUGGGGUCAGGGUCAGUAGUAGUUAUUGACCUAGGAGAUGGGGUCAGGGUCAGUAGUAGUUAUUGACCUAGGAGAUGGGGUCAGGGUCAGUAGUAGUUAUUGACCUAGGAAAUGGGGUCAGGGUCAGUAGUAGUUAUUGACCUAGGAGAUGGGGUCAGGGUCAGCACUAGUUAUUGACCUAGGAGAUGGGGUCAGGGUCAGGGUCAGUAGUAGUUAUUGAACUAUGAGAUGGGGUCAGGGUUAGUAGUAGUUAUUGACCUAGGAGAUGGGGUCAGGGUCAGUAGUAGUUGUUGACCUGGGAGAUGAGGUCAGGGUCAGUAGUAGUUAUUGACCCAGGAGGUGAGGUCAGGGUCAGUACUAGUUAUUGACCUAGGAGACGGGGUCAUGGUCAGUAGUAGUUAUUGACCUAGGAGAUUAGGUCUGGGUCAGUAGUAGUUAUUGACCCAGGAGAUGGGGUCAGGGUUAGUCGUAGUUAUUGACCUAGGAGAUGGGGUCAGGGUCAGUAGUAGUUAUUGACCUAGGAGAUUAGGUCUGGGUCAGUAGUAGUUAUUGACCUAGGAGAUGGGGUCAGGGUCAGUAGUAGUUAUUGACCUAGG
ensembl:lncRNA